CAGACAACGCCUUUUGUUUCAAUACAGUUGGAUCUUUUUUUUGCUUUUGUGCAAUAGGUUUAGCCCUUCAAAAUAGAACACACUGUACAGACUGUGGACCUAUGAUAACUACCUUUCCAGGAUAUUUGUAUUCUGGAUCAUAUGGAGAUUAUUAUUAUGUAGGAGUUGUGUGUUCCUGGACUUUAAUUGCCCCGGAUGAUGAAAACAUCUCUUUUAGUUUUCAGAAAAUCUAUAUAUAUUCUGAUACUGUAGUUUCGAUCUUUGAUGGAGUCAAUUCCAGCUAUCCUCUAUUGGGACAGGAAAGCACUACUGCCAA